UCUGCGUCCAUCCAUUAGGCUUGGCUUGCUCAUGAUGUGUGAUGGGCUGGUGUCGUUGGCCUGUCUUAUGGGCCAGCAGCCCAAUAUGCAGUCACCCGACGCUCGUCACGCUACUCCAACUCCAAUCACGCACUCGCGCUUGGGCGGCGGCCGCCGGCGCUCACACCUCCCACGGCGAAACCCUUGGCGACGGCGGGCAUCGGGCUGGCGACACCACCAAACGAAUCCCCGGCGCUUGAAUUGGAGCCUCGGACGGUAGAAGUGCCAGACCCCGUGCAGCAGCGGGUGACCCUUGAAGGAUAAGAAUUUUACAAUCCACAAAAGAAGACCAAGAACAGUGGUACGAUUUGAUUGUUUCCUUUUUUUAUUAUUGCUAAUUUAGUCAGCUUUUGUGUAGAUUUGAAGAACUGUUUUUACAAGUUUGAUUUUUGGGGCUCAAGUAGCAGCAGAAGCACUCAUGGUCCUCCAAAUGUAGCCACGUACAGGAACCAAAGAAGAAUAAUACAUAUCUAUAGAGCCACAUGCCCCAGACGAUGUGCAUGUGCAUCCCCGUGAUCAUCUUCGCGUGCGCCCUGCUGCUGGUCGCCGCGGUUCACGGUGCGGGCGCUGCAGCGGGCGGCGGCGCGGGAGAUGGCGCUGAUCGAACGCCGACCUGUUCCGGCAGAAGGAAGCACUGCGGCAGGCAGAGCACAAGAGCAUGAACAAGAGCAAUGCCUUCGCCAGCGCCAGCCACGACAUACGGUCCGCGCUGGUCGCCAUCGCCGGCCUCGUGGACAUGUCCCGUUGGGAGGCGAGAGCGCUCCCCGGCAUCAUGAAAAACCUUGAUCAGAUGGGCGUCUGCACCAACAAGCUGUUCGGUUAGUCUCCUACAACUAAGGCCUUGUUCAGCGCCCCACAGCCUGUCUCGUCGUCAUCUACGAACGAGGCAGCACCAUGGGUUGUCCCCGCUACUCGAACAAGGACGCAACACUGGAUCCAUGGCACGACAGCCAUCCGGGUGGUAGGAUCCAUGGCCCCCAGGCUAUCUCUACGAGAAGGACGCAACACUAGAUCCAUAGCGCACGAGCUACGACGAACGAGAGGUGAAAUCUUUGGCACGACGGCCAUCCCAGCAGCGAGAUCCAUGGCCCCGAGGUCAUCUCUUUGAGAAGCAGGUUGGGUUCGAGCUACCACUGAUGGAGGGUGGCGGCAACAACUUCUGUGGCGACGAGGUUAGUUUUGUGUACCAUGGCCUCAGAUCUAUUGGUUUCCAGUGGUGAGCUCUCAUUCCAUUUCCUCAAAGUUCAGGGGCAGUAGUUCGAUUUGUUCUGAUUUUUUUCAUUGGAUACCAAUGGUCUAGAGACACACUUAAGAAUAAAGUCCGGCUCUGACUUCUUUGAUUGGCUAAUUCUCAUCUUGAUGUUGGCAUUAGCAGUAACGUGUCUGUUGCUUGUUUUAGUUUUGGAGUGACUGUAAUUAUGAAGAGGGCUGCACAAACACUAUGUGGUGUGGUUGACAUAUUCAUUCUCCGAUCUUAAGCAUGCUCUAUGAUCUUUGAUGAAAAACUGUGGGGGUUUAAUCCUUUGGGUUUUAAUAAUCUUGAUGAUAAAUUGUGAGGGUUUAAUCCUUUGGGGUUUAAUAAUCUCAGCUCUCAAAACAUGGUUGCUUAUGCCCUAUGGUUCACCUAAAUUUUAGUGAUUGACGCUGCCAUGGUUAGGUGCACUUACUCUCACAAGGAGAGCAAGACAGCUACUUUCAACUCAUCCAUAGUUUAGUUAAUGCAUGGACAUCUCAGUGAAAGCCAGGAAGGUCUUAGACAUUAUAGGACAUUCUCCAGGUUUCCACUGAUUAAAUAGAUGUGAUGGGCGAGUCUGGACCAUACACCAAAGAUGAAAAGAGUGAGACCUUCUUGAGGCUCAAACAGUGUGGUGUAAUAACUCUCUUGUGUUUUUCAAGAAAAAAGUUCUUGAGGCUCUUAUUUUUCUUUGCGGAGUUCUAGAGACAAUCCAACUUAUCGACAAUUGUAACUGCAGUUCUUGCUAAUAUUGGACCAGGGGCAUGAAUCUAAUAAUUCAGAGCUUACAUAUAUUACAGUGCUAUAUUUGCAUCCCUGAGUGGAUGCAUGUUUUUCUCUGUUAGCUUCAAAGCUUUUGGGGAGUACUACUGUAAGAAGGCUUUGCUUAUAUUUAACUAACCUGAUGGUAUAGCAACAGAGCUAGUGCUAGGAUUAAGAUGUGAAAGAAAUUUUUUCAAUCACCAGUUAGUGUGAUUACACCAAGGCAUAUAACUCUUUAUACAACUGUCAAUUGUAUCAUUGUCUUCUCGCUGACACCAAAGGUCUUUGCAGUGGCUCAGGGACUAACAGCGAUGUGGUGGAUCAGAGCUUAAGUUUUAGAUUGGUGCUUUCAAGGUUGGGCCAGAAUUUUUUUGGUGCGACAUUUUUUUUUGCGUCGUCGUCCUGCCAGUCCGUGUGAUCCCACGCUGGGCCGCUCCCGCAUCGUCCAAUCCCCGCGCAAUCUCCUGAUCUGGUUGCUAAUAAGGAAUCUGGAUUCUCGAGCGCUCCCAAUCUCCAUCGGUCUUGGGCCCUCCCGGGUCGCCCUCGUGUCCCGCUGGCCUCACUCCUCCAAGGUCAUGCUCGUCGCCCACCAAUAAAGGAAAAAAAGAGGAACCGCAGCCACAUGCAGGAACCGCUGCGGUGCUGGUGCCGGACGCCGAAAGACCUUGCCAAGCUGCCGUCGCCGUGCCGCUGCCGGACGCCGGAAGACCUCGCCAAGCCGCCAUCACCGUGCUGCUGCAGGAGACGACGCGAUGCCGGUGACCGGGAUCGACGACCUCUCGCCAAGCCGCCAUCACCAUGCCGUGUCCGCAGGUGACGUGACUCUUGCCGCUGUCGGACGUCGGACGACCUCGCCAAGGCAUCGUCGCCGUGCCGCUGCUGGAGGUGACCAGGAUCGAUGACCUCGCCAAGCCGCUGUCACCGUUGGACGGGCCGAUGUCGGACGUGACUCCUGCCGCUGCCUACCGGAUGCAACAAGGCGCCUGAGACCCUGUGCCCGCGACGUCGAAGCCGUUCGGAAACCAAGCAGCUCACGGCAGCUACCCUCCCUGCAUCGAGCGCCCUCUACCUGCGUCGUGGCCUACGUGCCAUGUUGGCCAAGGCAGACAAGAGUGGCGAGGCACACCUAGAGCUGUGCUGCGUGCUGAUGGGCCGGCCGGAGGCUGUCCUGGCAGGGUCAUCAUAAAUUGGUAAUCCUGCCCCAGCAGCCAUGACUAUGCAAAACCUUUUCUCAGUUCCAUAUGUACAGUUUUUAAAGGGGUUAAGCACUUUCUCUUGCCUCCAGCAGCUUAAGGGGCCUCUUCCUAAGAACGGACUGGUGCUUGAAAAUAAUAAACACACGAAGCCUGCUAUCUAACUGUAAGCUUCUUAUGGCUAAUAAUCACUGGUUUGACAAUGCAUUCCUAAGGGUGUGGUGGCAAAGCCAAAUUGGCCGAGAGAUAAAUUGCAGUGUUUCACUAUAAUUCAUUUGAGUGGUCUUCAAUUCUACAAUGAUCAGAUUUGUCAAACAUUUUACAAAUAAUAAAAACAUUGGAGAUCUUGAACAGAGAAUGCUAAUCUACCUGGCUGAUCUGUUUUCUCAGAUAUACUGAACUCAAUUCUAGACACAAGCAAGGUGCUGUCGGGGAAGAUGCAGCUGGAGGAAGGCGAGUUCAGCAUGGCGGAUGUCAGGAGUCGGUGAACAUGGCCAAUGUGGCGGGCGUCCCGGCAAGGGGUUGCGGUGGUCUGGGACCCCUGUGAGUUCUCGGUCGUGAGAUGUGCGGCCGUCCUCGGGGACAGCAAGCACUUCAAGCAGAUCCUGGACAACCUGCUCAGCAACACGCUCAAGUUCACCGAUGAAGGCUACGUUGUCCUCCAAGGCUGGGCGACCCAACCCAUCGCUAGGAGCAAUGUCAGUGCUCCGUCAAGGUUUGCGCACCCAUGGCACAGUGGCGGCAGUUCCUUGGGAUGCUUGUUCAGAGCAAGGGAGGAUUCUGGUGAUUAGGUCAUGUGCAAAAUGACCCUAAUUUGGUUGAGUUUCACUUUGAAGUGGUUGACACCGGCAUUGAGAUCCCCAAGGAGAAGAUGAUGUCUGUGUUUGAAAGCUAUGUUCAGGUAAACAAUGGCCAAGGCGGUACAGGCUUGGGGCUCGGAAUUGUGUAAUCCUUUGUACGUCUGAUGGGAGAAGAGAUUAGCAUCACAAACAAAGGGCCCAGGGAAAGGGGAACAUGCUUCAAGUUCAAUGUGCUCCUGAAGAUAAGGGAGGUGCAACAACCUCAUGACAUAGAAGAAGGACCAUGAGUUCCAUCAGGCACUUUAAGGGUGUGCACUGCGUUCUCUAUGUUCAUGGGUAUGAAACCAGGAGGACCCUGCAGACAUGGAUGGAGAGCAUUGGACUCAAAGUGUUGCUAGUCCCACAAGCCGAGUUCAUCGGUUCCACCUUGGAGAAGGUAUAGAGCAAUAGCACACCUACUUCUGCCGUGAACUGUGGUGGAUCCGACUGGUGCUUCAACUCCAAGGAGAUGGUGAGCCAGUUGAGGAACAACACUGUUCCCCGGAGAGCCAGCCUUGGGACGAUUCCUUCUGGUAUCCUUGUUGUCAUCGACAUGUCCGGUGUUGGACCAGAAGAAACUUGCCAGGAGAUGGCCAAACUUGCCAGGAUCAAGCAUCAGGCCCUGUGCAAAGUUGUUCUGCUGGAGGAUACCAAAACCCCUUUCAGUGAUCUGAGGAGGUUCAAGGAGCUAGGCUGCGAUCUCGUUCUGUGAAAGCCGAUGCAUGGGUCUCGCCUGUUCACUCCUUAUGAUCCAGAGAGACCUCCAAGUUUUAGAUGCACAAGUGCAUUCUUCUCAAGUUGGUCCUAAGAUCAUUGGGAACAACAGCCAACAACAAGAUUUGCCAGGUGCUGUUGUUCCUUGUGUAGUGCAAGCUUCUGCAUCAACUGAAGCUUCAUGCUUGGCUCAGGAACAAAAGCAUGAAGAUGAUGAUAAGCUGCUAGCCAGGAUACGAAUCUUGCUAGCUGAAGACACUAUGGUGCUGCAAACAUCCAAAGGAAAAUCCUGCACCAACUUGGAGCAAUUGUCACAGUAGCUCAAGAUGGAGCCAUGGCUGUGAACUUGAUCAAGGAAGCUCUUGAGCAGGCCAAAGUUUCAGAAGAGGAGAUAGUGCCCUUGCCCUACCAUGUCAUCUUCAUGGAUUGCCAGAUGCCCAAUAUGGAUUUCUAUGAGUAUGAAGUGACAAAACUCAUCCGCGAUGAAGAACAACGCCAUGGAAUUUACACUCCGAUCUUCGCAUUGACCGCGCAUGACACAGGAGAAUUUGCAGAAGGCUAUCGAUGCUGGGAUGGAUCUACACCUAACAAAGCCAAACAAGAUAGUGGAAGUUGUUUUCAGUGGUUUUCAAAUGUGAGAAUUGACAGAAUGCAUGUCUGUAUCGAUACAAACAUCACCUUCAACUCAUCAUUAACUGAUGCCGUAUGAGUAUGAGUAUGAGUAUGAGCAUCAUUUAUAGUGUUCAUAUUAUCUAUCUAUACUAGAUGAUACUCCGCUCGUUGCUGCGGGAAUUUUUAGUGCUAUACAUAGCACCAUGAUGACAUAUGGAGUAGAAGUGGUAUUGAGGGAACAUUUCAAAUAAUGAUGUGAAAUAGAAGGAAAAAAAUAGCAUCCUCUUAUUGGUCCACUAUUUAAAAAAACAGUUGUACAA